GCUCUCGCCAGCAGAAUUCCAACAACUCCAGGACUUGGCAGCUUAUUCCACGCGGAAACUCCAGGAUGUUUUGGCUGAAUUUUGCGGAAACAAUACGACGCCGAGUGGCGUCCCGAAAUAUCAUCCGGACGGAGUGUACAGAUACCAGCGGCUAUCAAUUCGACGUUAGUGUCGAAUGACGAGAGAUAUAUCGUAGUGUCAAAGGGAUAAACGGCGGACGAUGAAAAUGUCGAGAGGCGAACCGGUACUUGUAAACAUCGUGGCAAUAAAAUACGCGGACGAUAAAGAAAAACUUGUAUUGCCGGAUGCUCGAAUGAGGUUUUUCAUAGAGAGGGAGAGGAAAAGAGGCUGUAUAAUUCACAACUCUUUUCCAGCGAAUAUAUCUGUUACAUGAGAACGCUCCGGAAAGAGCAAUUGCUGAGUUUGCAGAGAAAACCUCGCCUCGCCCACGCUCUAUUAUUCAACGAUGAGAAUUUAACAUUUACCGAAUAUUAUAACUAUACACAGUUGAAAAAUUUGUGUUAAAUUUAACAGAUAUCACAUGUCUCAAAUGGUCCACACAAAUUUUUAUAUUAAUUUAACAUAAUAUGGAUAUAUUAAAUGGUGAUAUUAAUACUAUGUUAAUAUUUUAACACAAAAAAAAAAAAAAA